CUGAGGAGCGAAAGCAUGGGGAGCGAACAGGAUUAGAUACCCUGGUAGUCCAUGCCGUAAACGUUGGGCACUAGGUGUGGGGGCCAUUCCACGGUUUCCGCGCCGCAGCUAACGCAUUAAGUGCCCCGCCUGGGGAGUACGGCCGCAAGGCUAAAACUCAAAGGAAUUGACGGGGGCCCGCACAAGCGGCGGAGCAUGCGGAUUAAUUCGAUGCAACGCGAAGAACCUUACCAAGGCUUGACAUGUGCCGGACCGUCCCAGAGAUGGGGCUUCCCUUCGGGGCCGGUUCACAGGUGGUGCAUGGUUGUCGUCAGCUCGUGUCGUGAGAUGUUGGGUUAAGUCCCGCAACGAGCGCAACCCUCGUUCCAUGUUGCCAGCACUUCGGGUGGGGACUCAUGGGAGACUGCCGGGGUCAACUCGGAGGAAGGUGGGGACGACGUCAAAUCAUCAUGCCCCUUAUGUCUUGGGCUUCACGCAUGCUACAAUGGCCGGUACAAAGGGUUGCGAUACUGUGAGGUGGAGCCAAUCCCAGAAAGCCGGUCUCAGUUCGG
rnacentral:rRNA from 1 species